rnacentral:lncRNA from 1 species
CCAACAAAUUCAAUAACUUAGCCCAUGACGUCACCAGGAUAGGCACUCGGAUAAAGGCCUGUACAUCAUCAUUUAGCUUUUUUACAUCAGCCAAUUUAAUUUGGACCGAACGGUCAUGUAACAUUGUUGCUCAUUUAAUUUGUAGAAAAAUGUGUAGUGAAGGAAAAAGAUAUUUGUUCGAGAUAGAUUAUCCUCUAGAAAUUCACAAUGCUAUAAUUCUUGAUGUUCCAUAAUAAAAUGUGUUGACCCUUGUGGUCGUUUUUGUUUCAAAAAAAAAAAGAAUGUCGCCUGGUAGCGCAUUGACCAAAUUUUUUUAGCUCUUUAGGGGGGAGGUGAUAUUGAGCGACCAGGGGUUGUCCAAGGCACUGCCCACGCCCACCACAUGCUCGGACGUCGGUGCCCCCACCGCAAACUAGGCCCUUGGUCAUGCGGGAGCCUCAGGCACCAUCAGCAACCUAGGCCCUUGGUCGUGCGAGAGCCUCGCCACCAUUGGCACCUGGGCGCUCAGAUGUGCGGGAGCCUCAGACACCAUCAGCAACCUAGGCCUUUGGUUGUGCGAGAGCCUCGGGCACCAUCGACACCUAGGCGCUCAGAUGUGCGAGAGCCUCGGACACCAUCGGCAAACUAGGCUCGUGGUCGUGUGAGAGCCUCGGGUACCAUCAGCACUUGGGCGCUCGAAUGUGUGGGAGCGUCGGACACCAUCGGCAAACCAGGCCCUUGGUCUUGCGGGAGCCUCAGGCACCAUCGGCUAACUAGCCCCUUGGUCGUGCGGGAGCCUCGAGCACCAUCGACACCUUGGUGCUUGGAUGUGCGGGAACACCGGACACCAUUGGCACCUAGGCCCUUGGUCGUACGAGAACCUCAGGCACCAUCGGUACCUAGGGGCUCGGAUGUACGGGACCCUCGGACACCAUCGGUUAAGUAAGCCCUUGGUCGUGCGGGAGCCUCGGGCACCAUCGGCACCUCGGUGCUUGGAUGUGAGGGAGCCUCAAGCACCAUCGGUAGAAUAGGCCCUUCGUCAUGCGAGAGCCUCGGCCACCAUCAGGACCUAGGUGCUUGGAUGUACGAGACCCUCGGACACCAUCGACAAAUAUGGCCCUUGGUCGAGCGGGAGCCUCGGUCACCAUCGGUAACCUAGGCGUUUGGUCGUGCGAGAGCCUCGAGCACCAUUGGCACCUGGCCGGUCAGAUGUGCGGGAGCCUCAGACACCAUCGGCAUCCUAGGCCCUUGGUCAUGAGGGAGUCUCGGGCACAAUCGGCACCUAGGUGCUCGGAUGUGCGGGAGCCUUGGACACCAUCGGCAAACUAGGCCAGUGGUCGUACGGGAGCCUUGGGCACCAUCAGCACUUGGGCGCUCGGAUGUGCGGGAGCGUCAGACACCAUCGGCAAACCAGGCCCUUGGUUUGGCGGGAGCCUCGGGCACCAUCGGCUACCUAGGCCCUUGGUCGUGCGAGAGCCUCGAGCACCAUCGACACCUUGGUGCUUGGAUGUGCGGGAACCGCGGACACCAUCGGCAACCUAGGCCCUUGGUCAUGCGAGAGCCUUAAGCACCAUUGGCACCUAGGGGCUCAGAUGUGUGGGAGCAUCGGACACCAUCGGCAAACUAGGCCCUUGGUCGUGCGAGAGCCUCGGACACCAUCGGUAAACGAGGUCCUUGGUCGUGCAGGAGCCUCAGGCACCAUCGUCAACCUAGGCCCUUGGUCGUGCGAGAGCCUCGGGCACCAUCGGCACCUAGGCGCUCGGAUGUGCGGGAGCCUCGGACACCAUCAGCAACCUAGGCCGUUGGUUGUGCGAGAGCCUCGGGCACCAUCGGCACCUAGGUGCUCGGAUGUACGAGAGCCUAGAACACCAUCAGCAAACUAAGCCCGUGGUCGUGCGAGAGCCUCGGGUACCAUCGGCACUUGGGUGCUUGGAUGUGCAGGAGCCUCGGACACCAUCGGGAAACCAGGCCCUUGGUCUUACGGGAGCCUCGGGCACCAUCGGCUACCUAGCCCCUUGGUCGUGCGGUAGCCUCGAGCACCACCGACACCUUGGUGCUUGGAUGUGCGGGAACGUUGGACACCAUCGGCAACCUAGGCCCUUGGUCGUGCGAGAGCCUCAGGCACCAUCGACACCUAGGGGCUCGGAUGUACGAGAGCCUCGGAGACCAUCGGCUAACUAGGCCAUUGGUCGUGCGGGAGCCUCGAGCACCAUCGGCACCUCGGUGCUAGGAUGUGAGGGAGCCUCGGGCACCAUCGGUAGAAUAGGCCCUUCGUCGUGCGAGAGCCUCGGCCACCAUCAGGACCUAGGUGCUUGGAUGUGUGGGAGCCUCGGACACCAUUGGCAAACUAGGCCCUUGGUCGUGCGGGAGCCUCAGGCACCAUCGGCAACCUAGGCCCUUGGUCGUGCGAGAGCCUCGAGCACCAUUGGCACCUGGGCGGUCGGAUGUACGGGAGCCUUGGACACCAUCGACAUCCUAGGCCAUUGGUCAUGCGGGAGUCUCGAGCACCACCGGCACCUAGGCGUUCGGAUGUGCGGGAGCCUUGGACACCAUCAGCAAACUAGACCUGUAGUCGUGGGGAAGCCUCAGGCACCAUUGGCACUUUGGCACUCGGAUGUGCGGGAGCGUCAGACACCAUCAGCUACCUAGGCCCUUGGUCGCGCGGGAGCCUCGAGCACCAUCGACACCUUGGUGCUUAGAUGUGCGGGAACCACGGACACCAUCGGUAACCUAGACCCUUGGUCAUGAGAGAGCCUUAGGCACCAUCGGUGCCUAGAGGCUCAGAUGUGCAGGAGCAUCGGACACCAUCGGCAACCUAGGCCCUUGGUCGUGCAAGAGCCUCGGGAACCAUCGGCACUUGGACACUCGGAUGUGCGGGAGAUUCGGACACCAUUCGCAAGCUAGGCCCUUGGUCGUGCGGGAGCCUCGGGCAACAUCGGCCUCUCGGUGCUAUGAUGUGCAGGAGCCUCAAACAAUGUCGGCAUCAUAGGCCCUUGGUCGUGCAGGAGUCUCGAGCACCAUCGACACCUUGGUGCUUGGAUGUACGGGAACCUCAGACACCGUUGGCAACCUAGGCCCUUGGUCAUGUGGGAGCCUCGGGCACCAUCGGCACCUAAGGGCUCGGAUGUGCGGGAGGCUCGGACACCAUUGGCAAACUAAGCCCUUGGUCGCGCGAGAGCCUCGGGCACCAUCGGUACCUCGGUGCUCGGAUAUGCGAGAGCCUCAGGCACCAUCGGUAGAAUAGACCUUUCGUUGUGCGAGAGCCUCGGGCACCAUCGGCACCUUGGUGGCUCGGAUGUGCGGGAGCCUCGAGCAACAUGGGCACCUUGGUGGCUCGGAUGUGCAGGAGCCUCGGACACCAUCGGCAACCUUGGUGCUUGGAUGUGCGGAGGCAUCGAGCACCAUUGGCACCUAGGGGAUGUGCGGGCUAAAGAAAAGUGUCCCCGUUUCAGACAGUAAAGGCAUGGGGGCUCGGUUUUAGGGACCUUCACCGUUUUAAUGUGUCGUUAUUAGGCAGACAAGUGUGGCGCCUUAUGAGCUGCAGGGAUACGCUUUGUUUUGAAGUUCUCAGCGCUAAAUACUUCCCGGAGGGUGAUGUGCUGCGUCCCAAAAGAAUUGAUAAGCCUUCCUUUACGUGGAAGAGCAUUGUGAAGGCGGCCAGCGAGUUGUAUGAUGGCUUUGGCUGGAAUGUGGGAAACGGGAAUAAGAUUGAUUUGUAAAAAGAGAACUGGGGUUUUGAGGGUUUAUCGGGUGACUCAAUUCGCCUUCCGAGAAGGGAGAUCCAGGAGAAUAGAGUUUGUGAGCUGUUGAAUGAGGAGAAAGAUGGUUGGAAUGAGAGGAAGGUGAGGGAGAUUUAUGGUGAUUUAGUGGGGGACCAAGUUUAUAAUAUUCCCAUUAUCCCUAAUGGUCCGAACGAUUCUCGUAUUUGGUUUCAUAGCCCGUUUGCUAAUUAUUCCACUAAAUCUGCUUAUUCGUGGUUGACUCUCAAGCAUAUGGGGCUGGGGCCUCACCGGUUCUUCUGGAAGAUGGUGUGGAAGUUGCAAACGUUGCCUAAGAUCAGAAUUUUCUGCUGGCGUAUUAGGCAUGAUAUUCUCCCCACUUAUGAAAAAAUUUCAACUAUCAGAAGGGAUUUCAACAGUGACUGUCCAAGGUGUGGAAGAGACAAAGAGACCCUUAUCCACGCGUUGAAAGAUUGCCCUAAGGCUCAGGCAGUGCUGGUGCAUGGGGGUUUGAAUAGUAAUCUGCUAGAAGGUAACCACUGCCGAGGUGUAGACUGGAUCGAAGAGGUGGCUCACUCGCUGGAUGUUAAGGCUCUCUCGGACUUUGUUUCGGUCCUUUGGAAUAUUUGGAAUUGCAGGAAUAACAAAGUGUUUCAGAAUUUGGAGGAGGAGGCCAAAGUAACGUGGGAGAGAGCUACUGCGUUGAGCCAUGACUUUCACAUUUUUAACUUGCUGAAGGAGCCGGCUCUGCCAAAGCCUGCUGUAAAGGAGGGAUGGCGUAAGCCGAACCAAGGGAGGGUAAAGAUUAACUUUGAUGCAGCGGUAAAAGAUCGGAAGACCAGCUUUGGAAUUAUUGCUCGUGACCACGAGGGUUUUGUCUUGGGGGGUCGUGCUGGGGUGUUAAGCAGAAGCUACAGUGCGGAAUGGGCAGAGUUUUACGCGUUGGAGGAGAGCGUUAAUUUGGCUAAGGAAAAUUUGUGGGCCCGGGUGGAUUUUAAGUCUAAUUGCGCUAGCCUGGUUAAUCGCCUCAGAAGACCGAAUGUUGACUUGUCAACUUUGGGCUACUGCAUUCGGGAUUUGCUUAGUAAUUUGAAUCCGAGCUUUAGUUUUAAUUUCAAGUGGGCCCCCCGCUGCUGUAAUAAAGCUACAGAUCAGCUUUGUUGUUUGGCUUUCACUAAUAAUUGUACUGAAACUUUUGAUUUGGAUUACCCGAGGGAAAUCCACAAUAUUGUAUUAAGUGAUGCUAUUAAUUGAGUUGGCCGUUGUGCCUUUUCUUUCAAAAAAAAAGAAUGUUUCCUGGUAGCACAUUGACGAAGUUUUUUAGCUCUUUAAGGGGUAGAGAUCCGCUGCCUCCCGACAUGCCCCCCCGAGUCGAGGUGGGGUGCGUCUAGCCCCCCCAUGGGUCAUCCCGCAAUGACUCAUCAACGGUGGUGGGUCGGUCACCGGCGGUAGUGGCCAGGGUAAUGAUUUCCGGCCGGCCAAGCCCGUGCCCAUAGAAAUGUAGCCAAUGACUGUAGGACCAAGUUUCCUAUAUCAAGAAAAGAUCUCUUGGGGUGCCUUAUGCAAUACUACGGGCUCGAGCUUGGCUUGCCCGUCUGCCCCCGUCACAUUUAGGGAUGCCUUGUGCAUCCCAAGUCGGCGACCACACGGCGCCUUGGCCUUCCCAAGCCCUUGCCUGCAUUCGAAGCUGCCCAUAACCCCAGUACCAAGUCUUUGACGGCAGUGGCUCACUAGGGGGUGUAAGUUGAGAUUGUAGACUCGGUCUUCGCUCGACGAAGUCCCAGUGGGAUUUUACCCCUCGUAGUUCUCGUGCCAAGCAGUUGUGGUGCGCCCUCAUUUGUUGUUCCUUCCGUUCCCCUACCAUUUGAUUGGUUGGGUGGACUGUUGGGCAGUGUGCACGGGCACUACUACUAGUACGCAAUGGACAUAUGAGUGGUGUUUUGGUUGUGUUUAUUGGCAGGCUCCAUGCUAAUCGCAUCGAAAUUUUGAGCCGCAGUCAUCUUCAUUAACUCCCCUUGUUGUAAUUGAACCCAAGAGGUGGGAUCGGGAUCCUGUGUUGUGUACCUAAGCCAGAUAGAAUUAUGGAUGUGUUGUCGUCCCUUCUUCAUCUAGUACCCUUCAGGGUGCGUGGUGGACCUCAAUCGUGCCUUGUGUCCCGAGAGCGCCCCUUUAAAUUGGUGUGGCCUCAUCGGUGCACUGGUGCUCGAUCGUGCUUUCGAAUGCAGAAAAUAUUUUUGAGAGUAAGGUUUAGGCCCUUAUCUCUCGAUGCCUAUGCAUUUUUUCCCUUGACACGAACGAUGCUCGUGCUCUGUUAUGACCUCUUCGUUGUUUACGCGGCAUGUUGAGGGCCAUACAGUGCCGACGUCGCGGAGGAAUGCUACCUGGUUGAUCCUUGUAGUAGUCAUAUGCUUGUCUCAAAGAUUAAGCCAUGCAUGUGUAAGUAUGAACAAAUUCAGACUGUGAAACUACGAAUGGCUCAUUAAAUCAGUUAUAGUUUGUUUGAUGGUAUUUGCUACUCGGGAAACCGUAGUAAUUCUAGAGCUAAUACGUGCAACAAGCCCCGACUUCUGGAAGGGAUGCAUUUAUUAGAUAAAAGGUCGACGCAGGCUUUGCCCGUUGCUCUGAUGAUUCAUGAUAACUCGACGGAUCGCACGGCCUUUGUGCCGGCGACGCAUCAUUCAAAUUUCUGCCCUAUCAACUUUCGAUGGUAGGAUAGUGGCCUACUAUGGUGGUGACGGGUGACGGAGAAUUUGGGUUCGAUUUCGGAGAGGGAGCCUGAGAAACGACUACCACAUCCACGGAAGGCAACAGGCGCG